rnacentral:rRNA from 1 species
CAGCAUACUGCCGUGAAUACGUUCCCGGGCCUUGUACACACCGCCCGUCACACCAUGAGAGUUGGGAAUACCCGAAGCCUGUGAGCUAACUUUAGAGGCAGCAGUCGAAGGUAGAAUCAAUGAUUGGGUGAAGUCGUAACAAGGUAAC